GACUGGAUGCCUAGUGGUCAAAGGUAGUGCUUCUAGAGCUUAUGAUGAUGUCCCAGGUUCAAAUCCUGGUCUAGUCA
rnacentral:tRNA from 1 species